rnacentral:rRNA from 1 species
UACAGAGGUCUCAAGCGUUGUCCGGAAUUAUUGGGCGUAAAGAGCUCGUAGGCGGUGUGUCACGUCGGCCGUGAAAACCUGCAGCUUAACUGUGGGCGUGCGGUCGAUACGGGCAUCACUGGAGUUCGGCAGGGGAGACUGGAAUUCCUGGUGUAGCGGUGAAAUGCGCAGAUAUCAGGAGGAACACCGGUGGCGAAGGCGGGUCUCUGGGCCGUUACUGACGCUGAGGAGCGAAAGCGUGGGGAGCGAACAGG